UACGUAGGGCGCAAGCGUUAUCCGGAAUUAUUGGGCGUAAAGCGCGUGUAGGCGGCAGUGCAAGUCGGGUGUGAAAGCCCUCAGCUCAACUGAGGAAGUGCGCCCGAAACUGCAUUGCUUGAGUACCGGAGAGGAUGGCGGAAUUCCCGAAGUAGAGGUGAAAUUCGUAGAUAUCGGGAGGAACACCGGUGGCGAAGGCGGCCAUCUGGACGGAUACUGACGCUGAGACGCGAAAGCGUGGGUAGCAAACAGG
rnacentral:rRNA from 1 species